UUCCCUUGGAGUCAGGUUCUUACACGAGGC
rnacentral:piRNA from 1 species